rnacentral:rRNA from 1 species
UACGUAGGCAGCGAGCGUUGUUCGGAGUUACUGGGCGUAAAGGGUGUGUAGGCGGUUUUCUAAGUUUGGUGUGAAAUCUCCCGGCUCAACCGGGAGGGUGCGCCGAAAACUGGGAGACUAGAGUGCGGGAUGGGAGAGUAGAAUUCCUGGUGUAGCGGUGAAAUGCGUAGAUAUCCGGAGGAAGACCGGUGGCGAAGGCGGUCUGCUGGGCAGUUUCUGACACUGAGGCGCGACAGCGUGGGGAGCAAACAGG